ACUUAAGAGGUGGGACCCACUAUCCAUAAAGAAUUGGUUCCUUUUUCUUUGGCAUUUCAUGUUGGAUAUUAAUUUUCUUCUAAAGGCAUAUUCAGCAACUUGUUUGUAGAUAUAGCAGCAAUAUGCUUUCUCUCUAUAUGUAUACGCAUUAGCAAAGUAGUUUCUCGAUAAUAGCAGCAACAAACAUUGCAUCAUAUUUAUGUAUGGCAUCAAAACGUACCAGCACUUUAUUUUUUUCAAGAAGAUACAUCAAUCUCUUCCUUCAACAAUUUAGUAUUACCAUUUUUUUUCUCCUCCAAAUAACAAGCAGCAACACUUACUUGGAUUUGUAGCAACGUUUUCCCCUCAAAUACCUUGAUAAGUUGUAUCUUCUUCAACAAAAAGAAAGGUAGAUGUCGUAAAUCUAAUGUCGGGAAUUGCGUGGUGCCAGUAGAGCAAGCUCCAUCGUGUUGUGGUUGCAUUGGAUGUUUCUUUAGGUCGAAGUGACCUAAGAUAAAGCUUAUUCUUGUUGGAUUAAGAUCUUAGGAAGCCUGAGACUUAGGUUUGGGUUAGCUUAAGGAGCGGACAAGGUACAGACACUCGGUUUGGUGAUCUUCCAGCUUAGGACUUCUGCUCAGCUGCUUGGAGAGCUCCAUUGUUCCGGAGCCUAGACUUAUAUAUAUGUCCAGGGGUACGGCGGGACCCUGUCCCGUCAUAUUUCACUUUUAUACUCUUAGAGGUCUGUAGACAUAUGUGGGUUGUAUAUGGGUUAUGGUCAGCUGUGUCGAUAUGGUUUGUCUUGGAUAUUCCCGUAUGUAGUGGCAGUCUUGUCGGCUUGCGUAUUGUGUUAUGAUUUGGUUGGUUGUGACUCCUCAGGAGACAGGUUUAUGAUAUGUGAUGUUAUGAAUCUUUAGUUGCUUUUACAAGUUUCCAUACUAUCCUUAGUUUCAGUUUGACUAUAUUUAACAGGUUCGUAUACGAGUGCCCAGCUCGGGCAUUAGUCAUGGUCCAUGGGGUUGGGUCGUGACACUAGCAUACAUGUACCAUUUUCCC